GACGGAGGGUGGGAGCGGUACGCGGAAUUACUGGGCGUAAAGCGCAUGUAGGCGGCCGAACAAGUCAGGUGUGAAAUCCUCGGGCUUAACCUGGGAAGUGCACUUGAUACUGUCCGGCUAGAGUUUGGCAGAGGAAAGUAGAAUUCCCGGUGUAGCGGUGAAAUGCGUAGAUAUCGGGAGGAAUACCAGUGGCGAAGGCGGCUUUCUGGGCCAAUACUGACGCUGGGGUGCGAAAGCGUGGGGAGCAAACAGG
rnacentral:rRNA from 1 species